GCGGUUGAGAUCCCGACAGUCGAGGGCCCAGCAGUCAAAAUACCGACACUGGAAUCCCUACAAGAAUUGAAAUGCUGGCUCAAGGAUUCCAACUACUAUAAUCCUUAACAAGGACUGCCGGGACACUGUACUGUGUUGAAAAAGUCCAAAACUGCCCGACCUCCAGUCAGUUCAACUACAUCUGAUGAUGAUGAUGCUGCGGCAGCAGGUCACUCAACCCAAGGCACUGCGAGCAGAAGACACCCUCCUGAACCACACAAAAAGCCACCACAUGUGGCACCCAAGGGACCAAGGUUGGAUGUCCUGUCCAAAUCACAGGUGCCUCCACCACAACGUAGAAUUUCAAUAGUGUCUUCAAAACCACCACGCCAAAUUUUGGAACUCCACCAAGACGCCAAACACACUCCCCUCAUCUGGAUGAAUCAACUAACCAGCCAAGCAGCCCUCCGACACACCAGCAAGACAGUGACAUGGAUGAGACAUUUGUUUUACAACUUCAGCCAAUCAAUGAAGCAAACACACCCCCAGCACCUGUGAGUACACCUCCUCCGCAACACACACCACCACCACAACAGAGCUCAACAACACCAGUAGCACAAGGGCCUGAUCAAGUGUUUUGGGACAAUUGGGCUACACAGCAGGCCACUAAUCAGGAUUUCCUGUGUAUACAGACACAAAUUUUCUCGAGCCUGCCUAAUCACCUCAAAAGAAUAAGCCGCAAUAUCAGCAGACAAAAUGUACCCCCCACGCAAAUGGCAAACACCAUGGAAAUAAUGCGGGCAGACAUGACACAUGUAAUGGGCAACUUACAAUGCCUAAUGGAUGAACAUCACAGACAACAGCAAAGCUACCUAAACAUUUUAGAAACAAAUCAAAUGCUCAUUGAAUCAAUAUCCCAGAUCAUGGAGAAUCACACUGCAGCAACAUGUGAACUCAAUGCCACCCUCACUAACCUCAAUGAAACACUCAGUUCCCAGCAGCAACACCAACAAAGCACCAGUUCUGGUACGACAACUCCACUUGUAUAGCCAAUGGCCUUACCACCAAGGCGCUCCACCAGAACACGCCCACCCGACAGUGGUAAAGGCAAAGCAGCAUCCAAGCCGCCGCCCCCAGAAAAAUAAACAACAGAUGUAGUGGUUUCUGUGUGCAGAAAAGAAAACAAUGAUUUAAUAAGUGUAUUAUGGACACUAUAGAUUCUCCUGUUAGCAGCUUUCAAAUUUAUACCAAAUCAUUAAUUUUCCGUAAAUUAAGUUUACAAGUGCAGUUGCUCUUCACACUGCUAUUUGCCAGUCUUUGAAAAUGUUUUGGCCAGUGAAAUGUUAUCUGUGCUACACAUUGUGAGUUGCAUGCAUUAAUGAGCCAACAGUCUUUGAUUAUCUAAAAAUUAUUACCAGAUUCUAAUCACUCUCAUAUAUAGCAGCCAGUCUACUCCACAGGCAUGCACAUUCUGAGGUGUAUGCAUUAAUGAGCCAGUGGCGUAACUUCAUCCCAGUUACACGGAGGCAAGAAAAAUUUGUGUUCCCCCACCAUCCCACCCCAAGCAAGUUUAAAUCUGGCUUAUGGUUAGAGAGAAAAAGAGAGAGAGGGGGUAGAGACAGAGAGGGUGUCAGGGAUAGAGAGCAUGAGACGGGGGAGCAAGAGAGAGAGCGUAUCAGAGAGAGAAAGAGAAUGUUAGGGAGCGUGAGAGACAGAGGGAGGGUAGCAAGAGAGAGAAGGUGAGGUGGAUCAAGUGGUAGAGUGAGAGAGGGUAUUAGGGAGUGACAGAGAGAGAGAGAGAGGGGGAAGCGAGAGAGAGAGGGAGAGAGAGUGUCAGGGAGAGAGAGAGGAUCAAUAGAAAGAUAGAGAGAGGCAAAAGAGAGUGGAGACUCAGCGAGAGAAGUAAGAGAGAGAAGGAGAGGAAGAGCGAGUGUCAGAGAGGGAGAGAGGAGCAAGAGAGUGGAGUGUGUCAGAGAGAGAGGGAGCUAAAGGACAUGUGUCAGAGAGAGUGGAGCAAGAGAGUGGAGAGUGUCAGAGAGAGGAUUUGCAAGAGAGAGUGCAGAGUGUCAAAGAUAGGGGGACAAGAGAGAGUGUGUCAGAAAGAUUGAGAGGAGCAAGGUAGUGGAGGGUGUCAGAGAGGGAAGGCAAGACAGAGUGUGUCAGAGAAAGAGUGGAGAGUUUCAGAGAGGGGGGGAGAGCGAGUAUGCCAGAGAGAAAGAGAGGUGGGAGCCAGUGUAUGUGACAGUAAGAGAGAGGGGGGGCAAGUGUAUGUGACAGUAAGAGAGAGAGUAGGGAGCACAUGUGACAGCAGGAGAGAGGAAGGCUAGUGUAUGUGACAGUAAGAGAGAGAGGAGGGAGUGUAA